GUGCCAGACUCCUACGGGAGGCAGCAGUGGGGAAUAUUGCACAAUGGGGGAAACCCUGAUGCAGCGACGCCGCGUGAGCGAUGAAGUAUUUCGGUAUGUAAAGCUCUAUCAGCAGGGAAGAAGAUGACGGUACCUGACUAAGAAGCCCCGGCUAACUACGUGCCAGCAGCCGCGGUAAUACGUAGGGGGCAAGCGUUAUCCGGAUUUACUGGGUGUAAAGGGAGCGUAGACGGCGAUGCAAGCCAGAUGUGAAAGCCCGGGGCUCAACCCCGGGACUGCUCUGGAAACUAUUGAACUUGAGUGCAGGAGAGGUAAGCGGAAUUCCUAGUGUAGCGGUGAAAUGCGUAGAUAUUAGGAGGAACACCAGUGGCGAAGGCGGCUUACUGGACUGUAACUGACGUUGAGGCUCGAAAGCGUGGGGAGCAAACAGGAUUAGAUACCCGCGUA
rnacentral:rRNA from 1 species